GCUGUUCUGCCCAUUUUUCCCUCUUAACUGCUACAAAUAUCCCUCUGGUUCUUCCUCACAGCACUGCUUCCUUCCUGAACACCAGCCAAGGAGGCCACCAACCCUCUUUCCCGACCGGGUUUGGCCUCGGCAGACCCCCCACCCCCACCCCAUUUGUGGGAAGCAGAGAUUGCACAAAGCUACCAGAGAGCACUCUGAUUGUUCUGGCUUCGCCUAUGAGACCAAAUUCUGGCCCUCAGCAGGACUCUGAAUUUGCAUCUUUGCUGUGCCCCCUUUCAACCUGCACACAGAGGGCCUGCCUGGGUGCUGUAGUGUAUAUGGAAGGGUCAUACAUCUCCCACGGAGCCCUUCCCACCUGUCAGUCUUCUUCACUUUCUGCUUCAUCAACUCCGCCCUCAUCCCCUCGGGCUGCACUUCUGCUAGGAUAGCCAGACCUCAAACUCCAAUCCUGGCGACAGGGAAGGUGUGGCAGCGCCUCCAGGUGAGGCGGAGCACUGAGGUCUUUGUACCUGGCUCACCUGUGUGGCUGUCUUGUUCCAGUCACUACUGUGAAUGGUUCAUCUCCUUUCAGGUCCUGAUUGCCUGGACUUCUCUUCUCCAGAGUUAAAGACACAAAGCCCGAAAGGCCCCUCAGGUUCCUUGGAGCUACUGUGAAUGUAUGUUCUCUGAAUCAUAUCUGAGGUCCUUAUCUCAGGCCUGGCAAUCCUGGUCAUUUGAUGCUCAAUGGGAACAGUCCUGCUUUCCAGAGUCUGCCCAGACAGGACCAUUCUAAGGAUUCCUCUUACUGGUAAGGGAAGAUCAGCCACCCUGGGCCCACAUGCAUACAUCUAAGGGGAAACGUUGGUUUAACUCAGGCUUCUGAGCAGCCAUAGUUCCCUUCCCAUACUGUGGGCACACAAGUUACUGAUUAGAAGUCAGGUGCCUUCAGGUUAACUUGUAUGAAUGGCCACAUGGAAGCUUCUUGCUAUUGAUGCCUUGGGCUGCCCACAAAUGCCCGGGUCUAUAUUCUUAAGGUCUUGCAGAGCAGUUGUCCACCUUUUCUUCUUCCACAUGGACUAAGGGUUUUCUGGGCUUCCAAAUAUCCCUAGGCCAAGUUCCUCUUCUACCUGCAUCAGUCUGUGACUCACAGAGCUCUUUGUCCCCUCUGUUCAUGCAUAGCCCAGCCCAGUCCUCACUGGAGAGGGUAGGGGCAAGUUAGUGAAGGCUUUGGCUUUGGCUCAGACACUGUAAGUGGCACCUAUGAGGCUCCAGAAAACACUCUGCUUCAGUCAGGGUCCUGGAAGUCCUGUGGGUGGGCUCGGGCCAGCCCCUUAACAAUGCAGAAACUACAACCUGGGGAGACAAAACACAUGGGGUGGCUUCAGGAUAUGGUAGGAAGGAAGCAGGGGUGAUCAGGCCACCAGACUGGUGCCCUCUAAUCCUCAUAGAAAUACUAGAGGUAGGCACUGCUACUCCAUGCCUGACAUCAGUGUCAGGAUGUCACUUAGGCUAGCCUGCCUCCUAGGCUGAGUGCAAGACCAUGAAGCUCAGAUGAAAAAAGAAAUCCUGGUUUUGACAUCUAGGACCAAUAUGCUCCCAGCAGUCCUGCCUUGGGGCACCAUAAAGCUCCGAGUCAUAACUCCACAGCUCAUACUGAAAGAAUCAGGAUUCCUGCUAGGAUCCCUGAGGACUGAGGA
ensembl:lncRNA